rnacentral:rRNA from 1 species
GACGAACGCUGGCGGCGCGCUUAACACAUGCAAGUCGAGCGAGAACCGGGGCUUCGGCCCCGGGGACAGCGGCGAACGGGUGAGUAACACGUGAGUAACCUGCCCUCGGCACCGGAAUAGCCCGGGGAAACCCGGAUUAAUGCCGGAUGGCCCCUCUGCCCUGCGGGGCGGCGGGAAAAGGUAGCUUCGGCCUCCGGCCGAGGAUGGGCCCGCGGCGGAUUAGCUUGUUGGCGGGGUAACGGCCCACCAAGGCGACGAACCGUAGCUGGUCUGGGAGGACGAUCAGCCACACUGGGACUGCGACACGGCCCAGACUCCUACGGGAGGCAGCAGUGGGGAAUCUUGCGCAAUGGGCGAAAGCCUGACGCAGCGACGCCGCGUGCGGGAAGAAGGCCCUCGGGUUGUAAACCGCUUUCAGGAGGGACGAAGCCACUCGGGUGAACAGCCCAGAGGGUGACGGUACCUCCAGAAGAAGCCCCGGCUAACUACGUGCCAGCCGCCGCCGUAAUAC